GACGAACGCUGGCGGCGUGCUUAACACAUGCAAGUCGAACGGAAAGGCCCUGCUUGCGGGGUACUCGAGUGUCGAACGGGUGAGUAACACGUGGGUGAUCUGCCCUGCACUUCGAGAUAAGCCUGGGAAACUGGGGCUAAUACCGGAUAGGGGCCCUUUUUCGGGUGGUGGUUGGAAAGUUUUUUCGGUGUAGGAUGAGCUUGCGGCCUGUCAGCUUGUUGGUGGGGUAAUGGCCUACCAAGGCGGCGACGGGUAGCCGGCCUGAGAGGGUGGACGGCCACAUUGGGACUGAGAUACGGCCCAGACUCCUACGGGAGGCAGCAGGGGGGAAUAUUGCAACAUGGGCGGAAGCCUGAUGCAGCGACGCCGGGGGGGGGAUGACCGGCUUCGGGUUGUAAACUCCUUUCGCUAGGGACGAAGCUGUUUGUGACGGUACCUAGAUAAGAAGCACCGGCUAACUACGUG
rnacentral:rRNA from 1 species